rnacentral:lncRNA from 1 species
CUCCAAAUUCAUUGAAGUGAUUGCCAAUAUCAAACGCAGAGUAGUUGUACGCACCAUAUUCAUAGUCAAUAAAUGAUACAUCAUCUACAACGUAAGGCAGGAAUAAUAUGAGGUGACUAUUGGUUGAAUAAUAGACAGGUUAAGAUUGACGUUUAUGGCAGAACGCUAACCACAAAUGUCAAACUUCAAAUUGCAUUUUCAGCUCAACUUAUACUUAUAGCUGUUCGAAGUUACUUCAAGUUAGGGUAAUUCAUGCAUAGAAGCAGGAAUUACCGUAGCUACAUAACUUGCCGUAAACGUCAAUAUUAUCCUCUAUUAGUUUUUCAUCCCACGCCCCCAUGUCUGACAUAAUGGCAAAUGGCAUAAUGCUAAUUGGCCGCUAGCCUGCAUCAACUUUGGAGAAAGCCCCUGACGAGAAAUAAAUUUGCAACAAAUAGUUGCAUAAUAGGUUAGAACUUACAUGGGCACUGCUGUGAUUUUACCUUUAACCCAUUCUAUGGCUUUAUUUGCUACCUAUACUUUUAACAUUGUCUACUAUCUUAUCCUCUAAGUACUGCACAUACGUACAGUAAAAUGGGAUUAAGAUUUUUGCAUUGUUAUUACAAAAUCUUAUACAGUCAUAACUUACUAUUAGGCCAAAAAAA